UGCCUUCAGUUGACUUUAAACGACUUGCUCAUAAAAUGUUAUUUUCACAGUUUUAGAGACAUCUUUGUCAUGAUGGAGGAAAAUGUAAUGUUUGUUUGGUUUGUGGAGUUACAAUAUUUAACAAUAUUCCAUUCCUAUAUGCAUAGUGAGAUAAUGUCAGAAUCGCUUGACAAUGUCUUAGAUGAUGAUGAGGCCGAAGAGGAAACUGAGGAACUGACUAACCAGAUUUUUCUUGUUCAGAAAUGAGAAGAUCAGUCCAUGUGCAGUAAGCUUUCAGAUCAAAACGAAGCUGAGAAUAAGGUGUUAGUUGAUGGCAAAGUGAUAACCAGUAGAGGCACAUCCAUGGAGUUCUCGCUUGUGAUUGUUGAGAAGCUAUUUGCUGCAAGAAGGCAUUGG